UGGGGAAUAUUGCACAAUGGGCGCAAGCCUGAUGCAGCCAUGCCGCGUGUGUGAAGAAGGCCUUCGGGUUGUAAAGCACUUUCAGCGGGGAGGAAGGCAUUAAGGUUAAUAACCUUAGUGAUUGACGUUACCCGCAGAAGAAGCACCGGCUAACUCCGUGCCAGCAGCCGCGGUAAUACGGAGGGUGCAAGCGUUAAAUCGGAUUACUGGGCGUAAAGCGCACGCAGGCGGUCUGUCAAGUCGGAUGUGAAAUCCCCGGGCUCAACCUGGGAACUGCAUUCGAAACUGGCAGGCUAGAGUCUUGUAGAGGGGGGUAGGAAUUCCAGUGUAGCGGUGAAAUGCGUAGAGAUCUGGAGGAAUACCGGUGGCGAAGGCGGCCCCUUGGACAAAGACUGACGCUCAGGUGCGAAAGCGUGGGGGCAGCAAAACA
rnacentral:rRNA from 1 species